rnacentral:rRNA from 1 species
AUACGGAGGGGGCUAGCGUUGUUCGGAAUUACUGGGCGUAAAGCGCGCGUAGGCGGAUUGAUCAGUCAGGGGUGAAAUCCCGAGGCUUAACCUCGGAACUGCCUUUGAUACUGUCAAUCUUGAGUUCGAGAGAGGUGAGUGGAAUUCCUAGUGUAGAGGUGAAAUUCGUAGAUAUUAGGAAGAACACCAGUGGCGAAGGCGGCUCACUGGCUCGAUACUGACGCUGAGGUGCGAAAGCGUGGGGAGCAAACAGGAUUAGAUACCCCGGUAGUCC